GCUCUGCACUGUAUGGCAUCACCUUUCUUGAUUCUGGGUUCUAGAAUUUUAGAGACACCCAGAUGAAGGGUAUUUCUUCCUCUCCUGUUUCCCCCGAUACCAUCAGCUCUAGCUCUGGAUACCUGCUUUUCAAGUUCUAAAUGAAGACUGUCAUCAAUAGUUUCAUUUGGCUGUUCGGCCCUUUUCUUCAAGACCAUUUUCUUCAACAAAUCAGAAGGCUUCAUCUGCACAAGAUAUCGAUGCAGGACCGAGAUCUGUCAAGAGAAGAGAGACUGGUCAAGUCUGAGCAGUGCAUUCCUUGAGCUAAUUCCAGUGUGCCCAUCCCCAUCCCCCAGUUCUCUGCUACCCAUUUUUCUGUUUCCUCCAAAGUCCUCAAAUGCUUCAGAUCCAACAAAAGGCAGUCCUAUAAGUGCUACCACUGUUUACAAAGUCACCAGAACUCAUCGUGGUGUUCCUAUAUAUGCAUAUUCAUAUGUCUCUACUGACAAGAAUUGGAGGCAAACCACAUUAAGUUCUAUUAUCUAUAAAGACCACGUGUAUUAAAAUAAGUAUAAGAUGUGGUUAAUAGCUCUGAAACUUCUAAUCCUAUCAUCACACUGCUAGUCUUGGGAAACUGAAUAAAUUCUCAAUGUCGUAACUGUUAAUGGCAAUUGUAGUUUAUUUAAUUCAUCGGUCUGUAACUGUCCUAUGGGGUAGAGGGGUAUCGCCUUUAAUGGAGCUACUUGCAUGAGUUUGAGUGGGGUUUGCUUCUCGGGCAAAGCUGUUACCAGUGGCCACACAAGGAGAGGAGUCUCCUGGGUCAUGCACUGCCUACCACUCUUCAAGGAGGGCAGGCCCUCCUGAGUCUUGCACAGUCAGGCUGAAGAGUCUCCAGAGGAAACAAAGAUCCAAAACCAACGCCCAUGUUGAAGAAUACAGCUGCUAUAUCAGACAAAGAUGGGAUCCAGGGCCAAACUGGAGAGUCACUGAAAGUAUCUGGUUAACACAAGAAAUUAUUUUAAUUCAAAUCACUCUUUCACAAAACCACCUUGAGUAGUGAUAAUCCAUCUAAAGUGGUUUGAAUAUGCUUGUCCUAUGGAGUGACACUAUUAGGAGGGGCCUUCAGAUGAACAUGUAGAACUCUCAGCCCUUCCUGUAUCAUGCCUACCUGGACACUGCCAUGCUCCCACCUUGAUGAUAAUGGUCUGAACCACUGAACCAGUAUCAGUCAGCCUCAAUUACAUGUUGUCCUUAUAAGAGUUGCCUUGGUCAUGGUGUCUGUUCGUAAGAAGCUAAUGACAGCUGGAACCUAGCCCCCAGUGUGCUUUCU
rnacentral:lncRNA from 1 species